UGCGCAGCGCGUGUUUCAUCACGAUGUUGGGGAACGAUACCCCUUUGAGCCGUGCCGUCCGGAUGUACUGGGCGGUCAUCACCUCGGUCAUCGAGGCGCGGGUCAUGCGCGCGAUGUAACCCAUGCCAUACAAGGCGAUUGUCAGCACCGGCAGAAAGAAGUUCUCGAAGGUCGGGUUG
rnacentral:ncRNA from 1 species